GUUUAAUUAUUAAUUAAAGAUCUUAUUAUUAAAAAUAUAUAAAAUUUAUUUAUUAUCGGUUUUACUAAUAAGAAUAUAUGCUGAAUUCUUUAUAUCUAACAGUACUACACUCUGUAAAAGAAAAACUAUGGUAGUCACAUAUUUUAUAACAGCCAUAAAUUUGACAAUAUGAAGUAGAAACUGAGAAAAAUUAUUUUAGUGGUAAACCAAUAUCAGCUUAAAAUUGUUAUGUUUACUAUAAAGGUCCUGAUAAUCCUAUAAUGUGCAGAAAUGAUAGUUCAAAAUAUUUCAUAUUAUCAAGGUAUAAUGUCAUAGAAUACUUAGGAAUUAUUUGCUGAACCUUUAAAUUCUUCCCUCCAAUUGGAAAUUAAAUAGGAAAAUAAUAGGAAACUUGUUUUGGCUUAUUUUAAAGCUAAAUUCCUUGAUUCUUAGUGGCCUCAAAAGUGAUUUUGCAUUAAUUAAUGUUUCCCAAACAAGUUUUAGGUCUUUCCAUUAUGACCUCAUACUUGAUCAUAUCCUUGAGUUCCUUUUAAUUCCGAUCUCAUUUAGGAGAACUUCUUGACAACUUAUAAUUAAGCUGUUUAAUAAAACAUUACAGAAUCUAAAAGAUUAGCACAAUGCAGAGGAGGAUCUCAACAAAUACUUAUUGAAUGAAUAAUAAAUGUCAUUCAUGGUAAUAAAAAUUUUAAAAUUUAGUAAUAGUACCAGCUUAUUGGUACUGAUUGGAGAUUCUGUUCUGUAUUUAUUUUAUUGGUCAGUCUUGUGCCUACAUGAUGAUGAGAGUCAUGAUAAUUUCUUUCUUUCUUACCACAUUCUAAGACUCCAAAAGAAGUAACAUUGCAAGAAAUAUUACAUAGGAUUUGGAACUUGUAACAUUCUACUCAAAUAUUAAUAACAUACCAACUGUUUCUAAUGGAAAAUAAAAUGAGUAUUUAAGGAGAAUAUAAAGUACAAGCACUGUGAAGGGCAGAUAUUUAUUACUGAACCACACAGGGAGAGAAAUACAGUUUAUUUCCUCCCUAACUCCCUGACUGCAUUCUGUUGUAUUACAAACAUCAAUCAAUUAAGAUGAUUUUGUUUCUCCAGAUUUCUCACAUCCAAAGAUUUUGUAGCAUUUUAUGAGUGGGUAAACUCCACUACUAUCCAAAUUGUACUCCUUCUCAGUUAUUCAUAUUAAAUGCAUCUAUAUUCAUAAGAACUUUAUAAAAACAUUUAACAGAACUUAAAUGAAAGAUAGUCUGCUAAAUCAUAAAUAUGAAUAAUGCUACUCUGGGUUAUUAGUUCAACAAAUUGCAAUUUUGAGGAAGCCACUUAACCUCUCUGGACCUUUUUGUUUGUGUAUUUCUGUCCAGAAUUACUACUCUCUAAUCUAAGAUCUAAAUUGAUUCAUGCAUGAAUUUGAAAAUGAAAUUUUGAUGACCACCUCAAAAUAAUUUUUGGACAUAAACAUUCCUAAGAGAUUUAUUUAUUGUUUCUCUGUAUAAACAGUUAAAGCAUGAAACUGAUUAUUUAAACUAAUGGGUGGAAAAAAACAACAAUCUUGGUUCUUUAUUGGAGUGUGGAAUAUAGCAAGUGUUCAGUUAAUUAAACGUCCUUCUUUAUCUUUUUCCUCUCUAUAAUUUCCUACCCAUGUCUUUUGUAACUUGCUAUUCACUGAAAAUUUAAUUAUUUAAAGAAAAUCAAACAUAUACUGGGAAUUAUUUUAAAAUAUGCAUUUGAUGGCACUAUUCAAAUUCUUAUUUUAAUAAUCUGAAACAUUUAUUGAUACACAGAAUUCAUCCUAGGUAUAAUUUAAGUAAGCUAGAUUUAGUUUUGCUAACCCACAAUUAAUAUAUGUUCAUGUUUUGAUUUUCUUUGAAAAUAUUUUGAUUUAAAAAGAACCUUUCUCCAGUGUUUAUUGCCUUCUGUCAGUAUUACUCAAAGCAUGGUUCCUAGGUCACCUAACCUAGGGUCACCAGAGGUGAUUACUAGCAAUACAGAUUUACUGAUUCUUGGGCCCUACAGGUCCACAUAAUUGGAUUCUCUUCAAAUAAGUAGGAGGGAAACAAGAAAAACAAAAACCCACAUUAUUAAAAAGUACAUUUCCUAAGUUAUCCUGUGCCUUCUAUAUAGUUGCUGAACCAUCUUACCUAUCAUAAACCAGUCGUCCUCAAACACAUAUGUGUUAAGAACUUCCUGGAUCAGCUGCACAAGAAUCAUUUCAAAGAUUAUUUAUAAUAUACACUUUCUGAUACUCUGGAUUGGAGAUGGGACAUGGUAUGUGUAUGUUAAAAAUAUCUCCAGUUCUGAUGAGCUGGCACUUUUAAGGACUACAUUCUGCCUAUUAAAUGAAAAUUAUUUUAUACUUAAAUGACGAGAUGUUGCCUUUACUUAGUUCACCUGAAUUCGUUUUAAAUACAUUAGAGAAGUAUUUCUCCAUUUCAAGAUCCAGAACAUUCUUUAUGUGUAAUAUUUUAUGCACAAGCAUGGAACUCAUUAACUAAUUCUGUGAUCUGGGGCAGGUUAUUUACAGUCUCCAGACAUUCUUUCAAGUUGCGAGUGGCUGAUAAUAAUAGCUCUUAAAUCUGGAUGCACAACAAAAUCAUCUGGAGAGUCUUUAAAAUUGCUAGAGCUCAAGGACUAUCUCUAGAGAUCAGAUCCAAUUAGUUUGAGGAAGGACCCAGCAGGAAGAGUUGUAAGGAAUGAAUCCACAGGUAAUACUGAUGGUAAGGUCACCUCUGGGAGCCCCCACUCUACUCAUGGGAAGUCCUUAGCCUGGAGCAAUUGUUAAGAAAGGAAAGGAAACAAAAGUGUGAAAAUAUAUAUAUAUUCCACUCUUUUUAGGUUUCUAACAGCAUGUUUUUAAUUUGCAAAAUACAAGACUGGACUAGACAAUAACUAUGAUUCUUUGAAGGCACUAAACUUCAUGAUUCUGUGAUCUGCUUAUCCAUUGCUUAUAUUUAAGAGACUGCUUUCCUGGGUUCCAAAGUCCUCAAUUGAUAGGUAGAAAGAUAAAUUGCAAUUAGGGUAUGACAACAAGUUAAAGCAUAAAGAUUUUUGAUGAGCACAGAUUUAGAAUUGUAUCAGUGUUUUGCCAUUCCCUAGCUAUGUGCAAGCUACUUAAAUUCUCUUAGCCUCAUAUUUUGCAUCUGUAAAGUGGAAGCAGAAUACUCUUGAUAUGUUCUUUGUAGAACAGAUGAAAUUAUUUUCAAAUAAUUAGUUAAUAAGUGUUCUAUUAUUAUUAUUAUUAUUAUUAUUAUUAUUAUUAUUAUUACUAUUACUGAUGCUUGGGAUAGAACUCAGCACCUUGUUCAUACUAGGCAAACAUUCUACCACUGAGCUAAACCACUAGCUAUAUUAUCUUUUAUUUUUAUAAAAGAUAAUGUGAGAAGCCCAGAACCUUAUCUUCAAUUUCAGAUCUAAACCCUGAAGAUGUUAAGCGGGCAGCUGGUAAGAAUUACUGAAAAUUGAGCUAAAGGAAUAUCUUCAGAAAAGAAAAAGAGUGUGGAAGCAUGUAUUCACGUCUUCUGUAAUUAAUAGAAGAGUGUGAGACUGGCAGCAGAGGUGACUAGGCAUUAUUUGCAUUAUAAAACACAUACACCAUUUCUUAAAAUAAUUGAACUCAAGCAGGCCUGACUUUUCCCUUCACUGUUAUUAGCAACCAGUAAAUUAAUAGUCAAUUUAGCUUAUUAUCUGUUGGUAUAGCUCAAGUCACAGAAUUGAAUAGCAAGAAAAUUCUUGGCAAUCAUUUCUAGUAAAGAAAUAGGCCUAAUCUGAUCUAACUUUCCUAUGUACCUAUAUGAAUAUAUCACAGUGAAUCUCACCAUCAAGUACAUCCAUAAAACACUAAUUAAAAAAAAAAAACUAUAAGUAAAUAGCAGAAAAAUCUGUAAAGAGGAAGCAUUGGAGACUGAAUUAGAACAAAUUACAUCCCAUGCUUUUAUAAUUGUGUCAAAAUGAAUCCUAUUGUCAUGUAUAACUAAAAAUAAACAAUAAAAUAUUUUUUAAAAGAAAUAGGCCUUAUAUAUAUCCAACAAUUUGACUUCAUUUCAGCUGUCCACAAACAGACAGAACAAAUAAUGAUUUUUAGAAAAGGGAAUUGAGUCUCCAUCCACUUUUCCUAAAGCUAAUAAAAACAAAAUAGCCACUGGGUUCAGGGCAUACCUGCAAUCCCAGCAUCUGGAGAGACUGAGGCAGGAGGAUCAUUAGUUCAAGGCCAGCCUCAGCAAUUUAGCUAGGCCCUAAGCAACUUAGCAAGACCCUGUCUUGAGAUUAAAUAUUAAAAAGGGCUGGGGAUUUGGCUCAGUGUUUAAACAACCCUGGGUUCAAUUCCCAGUACAAAAUAAAAAAGAAAAGAGCCAAAAGGUUUUAAACUCUAAAGGCAUAAAUUCCAUAAACAGGAUUGUAUUAGCUUAGUGAGGCAGAAAUAAAAUAGUUCUUAGCCAGAUUGUGAUUAAGACUACUCUAAUGGAUAACUUCAUAAUAAACAGAAUUUCAACGUAAAAAAUCUCAACCUUACAUGUGGACAAUUUUUAAGUUUAACUAGGCUAAAGCAAAAAGGUUAACUUAAGAACAAUUUUAAUUAAUAAGUGAAAAAAGAAUAAUAUUAAGAAUAACAUUUUAAUUAAUUCUGAAUUGUGUUUCUUUAAAGAACAACAGAAAUGUUUAUUAUUUCAGUACAACAUUGGAAAAGUUCAAAAAUUGAUUUUUUAAAACUUUUCGGCAACCAAUAAUUUUGACUUAAUAGUGAAUGUGAAGAAUAUUAAAUUAGAGCUUUCUGGAAUUUCAUUGUGAAAAGACAAAUGUGAGUAAAUUUUAUCUGAAAAAAUGUUAAGAGUGAUAUCUACAGUGUGAAAUUAUAGAGGUAUAUUAAUUGGUUAACUUUUCUAUUCAUGGCUCUAUUUCAUUUUGAUUAAUGAGGGUGAAAGAGAUAGAAAAGCAGACUUAGCAGAAAUGGUACCCAAAGACUCAAUUAACAACUCAGGACUACUCAUUAUAUAAGAAAUAUGUGCCAGACUUACAACAGGACAUCCCCGAUCUUAGACUGGCCUCAUUAGCCACCUCAGUCUCCCAGUUGAGAUAAUACUAAAGAUGCCAUCAUUGUCCACCACGAAAUUGCCAAAGGAGAGCUUCUCUGUGGUGGAAUGCAGGACUUCAGGGACUUAUAAAGAAACUACAACUCACCCAGAGCCCUGAGCAAAUCAAGAAUAUCUGAUUGUCGGUAUAAACUGGAAGCAGUCUACAUUUUAGAAAACAAAUUAUUUAGAAAAAAUAUGCAUUAUUUAAAAAUAAUUAAAGAAUAAAAAUUAUUAUACUUUAGACCAGGAGUUUACUUAGAAAGAAAGAAAACAUAUUUCAGGUUAUAGAUAAUCUACAGUCAAAUCAAUGAGUGCUGUGGAAGACAGGAUAGACUAAAUGCCAUUUUUAAAAAGAUAGUAAAACACUAGUGGAAAUAUUGAUGAAUUUUUAUCCUUAAAUAAAAAUUUAAGUCUUUAGAGCUUUUAUCAUGAUGAUAGCCCUCAAAACAGAUAUAUUCAUUCAUAUGCCUUCUUUCUCUCUCUCCUUUUAAGUGUUAUUUGGUAGGAGUUAGCAAUAAUGGAGUAAUUGUGAUGAUAUAAAAAACCAGAUUUCUAAAGAGUCCCUAGGAAUUAAAUCAUAUAUGAUAUAAUGGUAAAAAGUAAUAUUUGCUUGCAGAAAUGCAACUGAUCAAAAUUGUUGAAUAAAAUUAUUAAUCAUUUUCACUGCAAUAAUGUGAUUUAUUCUUAAUCUGAAACAACAUGUGAAUAUAGUAAAGGUUUUAAAAUAGAAAAAGUUGAGUCAACAAGUCUAUAUCUAGAAUUAGGUUCACAAAGCUUCAGAAAGAAGAAAAGUGUCAACAAAAAAACAACAAAAAGUGUAGUAAACUAAGAUCUGAGACAAGUUCUAAUUUCCAUAAUCUAUUGUGUAAUUUCCUAGCAACAUAUAUUUCAGCAGUACACUGAGGGUGAUGGAUUGUCCAAUAGAAUCACCUGAGAACUCUUCAUAAAGUUUGAUUUGUUAACUGGAAAUUCCAGUUUGGUUAUAUGGGCUGCUACAUAUUCUUCUAGACUUUUCCUUCCCUCUGCUCCCUUCUGUGUGGCCAUGUCACUGUUCUGCAGGAGAUGAGAAAGGGUAGACUGAAUUUCACAGAUAAUUACUCACAGAUCUCUGAUUAAAGUGUUGCUGAGGAAGAAUGCUGUAGUGAAGCUUUGCAAAUGAAGAAUUGGGACUUUGCAGGCUUCUUCUUGAGUCCAUGCCCUCAAGAUCACACGUACAGAUGAACAUAUGCUGAUAUCUUUUAUCAGUAGUUCAAAUGUAACUUUGAAUUAAAGGACUUACACUCAAGUAAUGAAGGUAAAAAAUUACUACGAUGGAACAAAAUGUGCCAAUUCUAUCCAAUAUGUGAAUUGUAAGGGUCAGUAAUCCAUAAACAAUUUGGAUUGUAAUCGUAUGUUUCAUUAAUGUAACGUAAUUUUGCACUAUUGUAUUGUCAUAUAUAUAUAAAAAUUAAAAAAUACCCUGAAACCUAAUGCCAAAUGUACAGUUUAUAGGUUCAUGUUAUUUCUGAUAAGAAUUUAAUUGCAUUAUGCUAAUAGUUGUUCAAUGCCAUUAACUUUCUGUGGGUGUAUCAUUGUGAUGCAGAUGUGAUACGGUUGUUGUAAGCACAUUAAUUACUCAUCUGAAUUUUUAUAGAUAAAAUCAUACAUUGAUCAGAUAUCACUUUUGUACUUAUUUUUUUGUAGAGUAUUUUUUCACACUUAAAAAAAACAUGUUUAUUUUAUAUCAAACAUCAGCUUUUCUUUAAAAUCUUAUUUUAGUAGCCAAUGCAUGUUUUAAAUAAGAUGUUAAAUAUUAUAUGACAAUAUUAAGAUUGUGUUUAUAUUAGGCAAAAAAAAUACGCAUGCAAUUGGUGAAUCAUGCAUCUUUCGGGGGGAGGGUUUACACUGCCAACUCACACACAGGCUUCAUUUCAAUCUGUGUGCAUGAUUCACAUCCUUACAAGUCCUUUUGAAACAUUCUGUAAAAUGAAGAUGUUAUUCUUAGUGCUAAUGAGCCAAUAGAUAAUGCUGCUUUGACUUUUUUUUUUCUUAACUUUGCAGCAUAUUGUACAAGUUUUCCCAAAAAGUUUCUUCCUGGACUUGUUAGCAAUAAAACACAACAAAUAAAAGCAUUUAUUGGUAAAUGAUACAAUUUAUAAUACAGAAAAAUAUUAUAAAGCAUGAAGAUGUGAAAAAAAAACUUAUCUUUACCAUGUGAAAAAAAAAACUUAUCUUUACCAGUUUCAUUCUAUGAACAAAAUAUUCUGGCAGCUUUGUCUAUAAUCAAGAAUGGUGUAUUUUUUGAAAUUUAUUUAUUUUACACUGCCAAAAUCAGUACUACUGCCAAGAGGGAAAAAUGCUUGAGGUCUGGUUUGCACAAUACUAGAGGGCGAUAACAUAAAGCAUCAUGCAAUACAGAGAGCCAAUCAGUAUAAUUGGCAGGGGAUAAAAAUGGUGGACUUAGCUUUUUUUUCUUAAUGACUUAAGAAAAUUCUAAAAUGUAUAAAUAAUAUGAAUUCUGGCUAAGAUACAUGACUUUACAUGCUGAUAAUUGAUAGGAAUCUUUGAAAAUGACAAAGAUCAUUCUAUUAAGAGAAGGGUGUUUUAGUUGUGUGUGUGUGUGUGUGUGUUAAUUUGGCUGUUUAUUUUUAGAAAAUAUACUUGUGUUUUGAAAGGUCUUAAUUUCAAACAGGAAAUAUGUGUAGGCCAACCACUCAUUCCCCAGAUGAAAUUAGUCAUUGAUCAUAUAUAUCAAGGCUAAAACAUAGCUUUUGGUAAUUUAAAAUACCAAGAUAAGCAUUUAUACUGUUAGAAGGUAAUUUCAUUGCUAGGUUAUUAAAACAGUGGGAAUUCUAUUUAUGCAGUUAUUUAUUUAUUUAUUUAUUUACAGAAGAUUGGUUCCUUUGAGUUCAAUUUUAAAAGAUUUAGUGAAGUUAAUAUAAUGGUAAGAAAAGUUGAUUGUAGCUACUAUUCCAAGUGAAAAGGAUAUCACUGAAUCUUGCUGUAUCCUUGGAGUAAAGCAUUAAUUCAAAAGAUGAGCAGUCAGUCCUAGCAAUGCAAAGGCCAACUACAUGAUCCAAGCUGUUGUGAGUGACAUUCAGCAACAUUGAUCUGGACUCUUAGUUUGAUACACAUCAUUUCCUUCAUUGACUCAUCCUGUAAAUAACAUAACACUUUAUGGCAGCUAAGCACUUGUUUUAAUAAGCCAUGAAAGGCAAGAUGCCAUAGGAAAUCUGUAUAUUCCACUACUUGGAGAACUGGUACUUUCCACAAUUAAACUGGAGGUGCCAUUUGAAAGUCCUUUCCCCUACAAAUGCCAUCCCAGUACAUAUUCUGGCUCAUGAUGUCUUUCUGGGCUUAUAAAUAUAUGGUGUGACUGCUGUAAUUUUGUGAAAUUUUGGUUAGCACUAAAUAAUGACUACUGCAAUCUGUGCUGAUUCCAAGGCAGAAAUAAUUGUUUAAGAAUUUGAGCCUGUUGUGUGUAAAAAAAAAAAAAUCUUUUUCAUAGGUCCUAUUUCCUAUAUUCAUUGUAAGUACCUCACUGAUUUAGCACUGGAAUUAUUCCUUGGAUGUGUAAAUAAUGUUUUAUUCAGGCCUAAUGAAUUCCUGUAAUGUGAAUAUUUAAAAUAAAAGACUUCAA
rnacentral:lncRNA from 1 species